AAUAUUGGGCAAUGGGCGCAAGCCUGACCCAGCAACGCCGCGUGAAGGAAGAAGGCUUUCGGGUUGUAAACUUCUUUUCUGAGGGACGAUAGUGAAGGUACCUCAGGAAUAAGCCCCGGCUUAACACGUGCCAGCAGCCGCGGUAAUACGUAGGUGGCAAGCGUUAUCCGGAUUUACUGGGUGUAAAGGGCGUGUAGGCGGGAUUGCAAGUCAGAUGUGAAAACUAUGGGCGCAACCCAUAGCCUGCAUUUGAAACUGUAGUUCUUGAGUGUUGGAGAGGCAGGCGGAAUUCCGUGUGUAGCGGUGAAAUGCGUAGAUAUACGGAGGAACACCAGUGGCGAAGGCGGCCUGCUGGACAAUAACUGACGCUGAGGCGCGAAAGCGUGGGGAGCAAA
rnacentral:rRNA from 1 species